UACGUAGGUGGCAAGCGUUGUCCGGAUUUAUUGGGUUUAAAGGGUGCGUAGGCGGCCAUUUAAGUCAGUGCUGAAAUACUCUAGCUUAACUAGAGGGGUGGCAUUGAUACUGAUUGGCUUGAGUGAAGUCGAAGUAGGCGGAAUUGACGGUGUAGCGGUGAAAUGCUUAGAUAUCGUCAAGAACACCGAUAGUGAAGACAGCUUACUAGACUUCAAACUGACGCUGAGGCACGAAAAGUGUGGGGGAUCAAAACAGGG
rnacentral:rRNA from 1 species